rnacentral:rRNA from 1 species
GGAUGAACGCUGGCGGCGUGCCUACUACCUGCAAGUAGAACGCUGAAGGAGGAGCUUGCUCUUCUGGAUGAGUUGCGAACGGGUGAGUAACGCGUAGGUAACCUGCCUGGUAGCGGGGGAUAACUAUUGGAAACGAUAGCUAAUACCGCAUGACAACAGUUAUUGCAUGAUAACUGUUUAAAAGGGGCAACUGCUCCACUACCAGAUGGACCUGCGUUGUAUUAGCUAGUUGGUGAGGUAACGGCUCACCAAGGCGACGAUACAUAGCCGACCUGAGAGGGUGAUCGGCCACACUGGGACUGAGACACGGCCCAGACUCCUACGGGAGGCAGCAGUAGGGAAUCUUCGGCAAUGGACGGAAGUCUGACCGAGCAACGCCGCGUGAGUGAAGAAGGGUUUCGGAUCGUAAAGCUCGGUUGUAAGAGAAGAACGAGUGUGAGAGUGGAAAGUUCACACUGUGACGGUAGCUUACCAGAAAGGGACGGCUAACUACGUG